CAGACAUAUCACGUUGAAACACCAGUUCUCGUCAAAUGACCAAAGUUAAUCAACGUCGAGCCUGGUCAGUAAGUAGAUGUGAGACCGUUUGGGAAUACCAGGUGCUGUAAG